UGGUGUUUUCUUUUCAGAUUCAUUAAUGUCAUAACUGGUUCGAAUUGACUAUAAGCAUUUUGACCGUGCCAAAUUAUUUCCACAGCUGUCGUUCUUAGGCACUACAGCUUCAGAGGAUGGAGAACUUUACAUGUGGGGAAAGAACUCAAGCGGGCAACUUGGCCUUGGAAAAAAUGCUGCGAAAGCAGUUCAUAAGCCAACCAAAGUGGAAUGCUUGAGCGGGCUUACAAUUAAAUUGGAUGCUUUGGGUUCAGAGCACACAAUUGUUGUUACUGUGAAUAUACACCAAGGCUUAUAAAGAAAUUAGAGGGUAUCAGGGUCAAAAGAGUUGCAGCUGGCUUGUUGCAUUCAGUAUGCAUUGAUGAAACUGGGUCUUUAUUUGUGUUUGGGGAUAAAGUGGUAGCUAAUCUUGGAUUUGGGGAGGCCAAGAAUGCAACCAUGCCAUCCAUGAUCAAUACAUUGCCAUAUUCAGAAGAAGUUGCAUGUGGUGGCUACCACACUUGUGUUGUAACAAUGCUUGAAAAUUAAGUGCAAGUUGAUGUGAAUGACAAUGUCCUGGAGAUCAUAUGGGAAGAUCAUUAUUAAAACAUGAAGGUUAAAAAGGAUGAUAAGGAGAAGGAAGAGUUGGACUUUAAGGGUAAAAAUGUGUCAAAUCUAGUGAGUCAGGUGACCGAGAUUCUGUUUAACAAUUUUCUUUAUUGCUGGAACAAGUCUUAACCAAGAUCAAGAUCAAAGUACUUCACUAAGUUAUAUAUGCAGGCAUUGCAAUGAGAGGUGAUGAUGAUUUGGCAUUAUAUUCUCAUCAGGAUGAAUUUUAUUUUAGAAAUUGUAAUACUUUGUGUCUGUGUGUGUGUGUGUGUGUGUUUUUUUUAUGUAUUAAAUUACAUAUUGAAUCAAUGUUUAUGUAUUAAAUUUAAAUUCAUUAAUUUUUAUAUUUAGUUUUGAAGUUUAAAUUUUAAUGGAAAA